CCAUCUCCCAACCCUAAAUACUCCCUAGUGACCGAUAGUGAACCAGUACCGUGAGGGAAAGGUGAAAAGCACCCCGGGAGGGGAGUGAAAUAGAACCUGAAACCGUGUGCCUACAACAAGUUCGAGCCCGUUAAUGGGUGAGAGCGUGCCUUUUGUAGAAUGAACCGGCGAGUUACGAUAUGAUGCGAGGUUAAGUUGAAGAGACGGAGCCGUAGGGAAACCGAGUCUUAAUAGGGCGAUUUAGUAUCAUGUUGUAGACCCGAAACCAUGUGACCUACCCAUGAGCAGGUUGAAGGUGAGGUAAAACUCACUGGAGGACCGAACCAGGGCACGUUGAAAAGUGCUUGGAUGACUUGUGGGUAGCGGAGAAAUUCCAAACGAACUUGGAGAUAGCUGGUUCUCUCCGAAAUAGCUUUAGGGCUAGCGUCGAUGUUAAGUCUCUUGGAG
rnacentral:rRNA from 1 species